GUUGUAUGGUUAAGUGACUAAGCGUACACGGUGGAUGCCUUGGCAGUCAGAGGCGAUGAAAGACGUAGUAACUUGCGAUAAGCCCAGAUUAGGUAGUAACAACCAUUUGAGUCUGGGAUUUCUGAAUGGGGAAACCCACGUGCAUAAGCACGUAUCCUUACCUGAAUACAUAGGGUAAGGAGGCGAACCGGGGGAACUGAAACAUCUAAGUACCCCGAGGAAAAGAAAUCAACCGAGAUUCCGAAAGUAGCGGCGAGCGAAAUUGGACUAGCCCUUAAGCUUUACACGCGUUAGACGAACGGUCUGGAAAGUCCGACGAUACAGGGUGAUAGUCCCGUAGUUGACGACGUGUGUUCAGUGAAAUCGAGUAGGGCGGGACACGUGAUAUCCUGUCUGAAUAUGGGGGGACCAUCCUCCAAGGCUAAAUACUACUGACUGACCGAUAGUGAACCAGUACCGUGAGGGAAAGGCGAAAAGAACCCCUGUGAGGGGAGUGAAAUAGAACCUGAAACCGUGUACGUACAAGCAGUAGGAGCAGGCUUUGUCCUGUGACUGCGUACCUUUUGUAUAAUGGGUCAGCGACUUAUAUUCAGUGGCAAGGUUAACCAUCUAGGGGAGCCGUAGGGAAACCGAGUCUUAACUGGGCGUUCAGUCUCUGGAUAUAGACCCGAAACCAGGUGAUCUAGCCAUGGGCAGGUUGAAGGUUGAGUAACAUCAACUGGAGGACCGAACCGACUAAUGUUGAAAAAUUAGCGGAUGACUUGUGGCUAGGGGUGAAAGGCCAAUCAAACCUGGAGAUAGCUGGUUCUCCCCGAAAGCUAUUUAGGUAGCGCCUCGGACGAAUACUACUGGGGGUAGAGCACUGUUAAGGCUAGGGGGUCAUCCCGACUUACCAACCCUUUGCAAACUCCGAAUACCAGUAAGUACUAUCCGGGAGACACACGGCGGGUGCUAACGUCCGUCGUGGAGAGGGAAACAACCCAGACCGCCAGCUAAGGUCCCAAAUUACUACUAAGUGGGAAACGAUGUGGGAAGGCUCAGACAGCCAGGAUGUUGGCUUAGAAGCAGCCAUCAUUUAAAGAAAGCGUAAUAGCUCACUGGUCGAGUCGGCCUGCGCGGAAGAUGUAACGGGGCUAAGUAGUAAACCGAAGCUGCGGCAAUACUCUUUGAGUAUUGGGUAGGGGAGCGUUCUGUAAGCGGUUGAAGGUGUGUGGUAACGCAUGCUGGACGUAUCAGAAGUGCGAAUGCUGACAUGAGUAACGAUAAAGGGGGUGAAAAACCUCCUCGCCGGAAGACCAAGGGUUCCUGUCCAACGUUAAUCGGGGCAGGGUAAGUCGACCCCUAAGGCGAGGCCGAAAGGCGUAGUCGAUGGGAAACGGGUUAAUAUUCCCGUACUUCUUACAAUUGCGAUGGGGGGACGGAGAAGGCUAGGUGGGCCUGGCGACGGUUGUCCAGGUUCAAGUGCGUAGGCU
rnacentral:rRNA from 2 species